CCUACGGGAGGCUGCAGUGGGGAAUAUUGGACAAUGGGCGCAAGCCUGAUCCAGCCAUACCGCGUGGGUGAAGAAGGCCUUCGGGUUGUAAAGCCCUUUUGUUGGGAAAGAAAUCCAGCCGGCUAAUACCUGGUUGGGAUGACGGUACCCAAAGAAUAAGCACCGGCUAACUUCGUGCCAGCAGCCGCGGUAAUACGAAGGGUGCAAGCGUUACUCGGAAUUACUGGGCGUAAAGCGUGCGUAGGUGGUUGUUUAAGUCUGUUGUGAAAGCCCUGGGCUCAACCUGGGAACUGCAGUGGAAACUGGACAACUAGAGUGUGGUAGAGGGUAGCGGAAUUCCCGGUGUAGCAGUGAAAUGCGUAGAGAUCGGGAGGAACAUCCAUGGCGAAGGCAGCUACCUGGACCAACACUGACACUGAGGCACGAAAGCGUGGGGAGCAAACAGGAUUAGAUACCCAUGUAGUC
rnacentral:rRNA from 1 species